UACAGCUCAAGGUCUGGCAUGGUGAU
rnacentral:piRNA from 1 species